rnacentral:rRNA from 1 species
CAGUAGCCGCGGUAAUACGAAGGGUGCAAGCGUUAAUCGGAAUUACUGGGCGUAAAGGGUGGGUAGGCGGUGAGUUAAGUCUGUUGUGAAAUCCCCGGGCUCAACCUGGGAAUGGCAAUGGAUACUGGCUCGCUAGAGUGUGAUAGAGGAUGGUGGAAUUCCCGGUGUAGCGGUGAAAUGCGUAGAGAUCGGGAGGAACAUCAGUGGCGAAGGCGGCCAUCUGGAUCAACACUGACGCUGAAGCACGAAAGCGUGGGGAGCAAACAGGAUUAGAUACCCCUGUAGUCCCUGUCUCUUAUAA